UACGUAGGGUGCGAGCGUUAAUCGGAAUUACUGGGCGUAAAGCGUGCGCAGGCGGUUUUGUAAGCCAGUUGUGAAAUCCCCGGGCUUAACCUGGGAAUGGCAUUUGGGACUGCAAGGCUUGAGUGCGGCAGAGGAGACUGGAAUUCCCGGUGUAGCAGUGAAAUGCGUAGAUAUCGGGAGGAAUACCGAUGGCGAAGGCAGGUCUCUGGGCUGACACUGACGCUCAUGCACGAAAGCGUGGGGAGCAAACAGG
rnacentral:rRNA from 1 species